rnacentral:rRNA from 1 species
GCAUAUCAAUAAGCGGAGGAAAAGAAAAUAACAAUGAUUCCCCUAGUAACGGCGAGUGAAGAGGGAUAAGCUCAAAUUUUAAAUCUGAUCGGUUCUACUUAUCAGAAUUGUAAUUUGAAGAAACGUUUUCUGUCUCUUGAAUUAGCCUAAAUCUUUUGGAACAAGGUAUCAUGGAGGGUGACAAUCCCGUUCAUGGUUAAUUUUAAGAUGCUUUACGAUACGUUUUCAAAGAGUCGAGUUGUUUGGGAUUGCAGCUCAAAAUGGGAGGUAAAUUUCUCCUAAAGCUAAAUAUUGGCGAGAGACCGAUAGCGAACAAGUACCGUGAGGGAAAGAUGAAAAGAACUUUGAAAAGAGAGUUAAACAGUACGUGAAAUUGUUGAAAGGGAAACGAUUGAAGUCAGUCGUACCAACGGGAAAUCAAUUCAUCGAGUGUUGAAUUUGGGUUUUUGAAGAGUUUUAAAACCUUUGGGAUUCAAAUAUUUUCACUUUUUGAACGUAUUUUCUCGUACGGUAGGUUAACAUCGAUUUUGAACAUUAUAAAAUGAUCGGAGGAAUGUAGCUUCGAUCUCGUAUUGAAGUGUUAUAGCCUUUGGUAGAUGUAAUGAUCGAGAUCGAGGAUUGCAACGAAUACCCUUUUGGGCUAUCCGUCUGAUCUCUGAUACGUUGCCUCGGUAACGAAAGCGUGCUUACGGUAUUGAGGUAUAACGGUCAAAAGGUUAGAACGUGAUUACAUUCGUUAAGGAUGUUGACGUA